UGAGGAAUAUUGGUCAAUGGUCGCAAGACUGAACCAGCCAUGCCGCGUGCAGGAAGACGGUCCUAUGGAUUGUAAACUGCUUUUAUACAGGAAGAAACCCUCCCACGUGUGGGAGCUUGACGGUACUGUAGGAAUAAGGAUCGGCUAACUCCGUGCCAGCAGCCGCGGUAAUACGGAGGAUCCAAGCGUUAUCCGGAAUCAUUGGGUUUAAAGGGUCCGUAGGCGGUCUUAUAAGUCAGUGGUGAAAGCCCAUCGCUCAACGAUGGAACUGCCAUUGAUACUGUAAGACUUGAAUGCUUAGGAAGUAACUAGAAUAUGUAGUGUAGCGGUGAAAUGCUUAGAUAUUACAUGGAAUACCAAUUGCGAAGGCAGGUUACUACUAAGUGAUUGACGCUGAUGGACGAAAGCGUGGGGAGCGAACAGGAUUAGAUACCCUGGUAGUCCACGCCGUAAACGAUGGAUACUAGCUGUUCGGCGCAAGUUGAGUGGCUAAGCGAAAGUGAUAAGUAUCCCACCUGGGGAGUACGCACGCAAGUGUGAAACUCAAAGGAAUUGACGGGGUCAUAGCUGUUUCCUG
rnacentral:rRNA from 1 species